AAUUCGACGCAACGCGCAGAACCUUACCUAGACUUGACAUCCCGGGAUUUCUGGAAACAGAGAAGUGCUUUAGCAAUAAAGAACCCGGUGACAGGUGCUGCAUGGGCUGUCGUCAGCUCGUGUCGUGAGAUGUUGGGUUAAGUCCCGCAACGAGCGCAACCCUCGCCUUUAGUUGCCAGCAUUCAGUUGGGCACUCUAGAGGGACUGCCGGUGUCAAAACCCGGGAGGAAGGUGGGAUGACGUCAAGUCCUCAUGGCCUUUAUGUCUAGGGCUACACACGUACUACAAUGGCCGGUACAAAGGGCAGCCACUCAGCGAUGAGGCGCUAAUCCCAUAAAAGCCGGUCUCAGUCCGGAUCGCAGUCUGCAACUCGACUGCGUGAAGUUGGAAUCGCUAGUAAUCGCGGAUCAGCAUGCCGCGGUGAAUACGUUCCCGGGCCUU
rnacentral:rRNA from 1 species